AUAGUUGUUCAAGGUGUAUAUCUCAUAUAAUUUACAACUGCUUAGAAAAUAUAUG
rnacentral:sRNA from 1 species